rnacentral:pre_miRNA from 2 species
AGCUCUGAUUGUCCAAACGCAAUUCUUGUUUAAAAUUUAAAUAUUUCAAGGGUUGUGAGUGGGCAUCGUCGC